CUUAUCUGCCAACAAAGACAAAGGUCCCCAAAAAGUCACACAACAGGCCUGUUUCUCCAAAUCUAGGGAGCCCCUUGGGGUAGGGUGGCCUUCUGGCAAAGGAGGUCACACCUGACUUGGCCAUUACUAUCCCAGGAACUCUGGGCGGUCUGCUCCACCUCCCCAGCCUUGGGGCCUUGUUGUCGAACAGGGUUGAAAUGCGGAGGAAGCCACCUAAUCUGGGGGAUGUCCCUAUCCGACUGGCUGAAAGCUAACUGCGGCCAGCACCCAUUCCAGCUCAGCCUCAGCACCCAUUCCAGCUCAGCCUUUUGCCGUCCAUAUGUGUGAUCAGGACUGUGUCUCUGUUUUCUCAUCGGAAAAAUGAGAAGAACAGUUCCUUCCUCACAGGUCUGUUGUGAGGACUGAAUUAAAGGAUGAGAGAAGGAAACCAACCAGCAUGGGGCCUGGGUGACUGGAUGUGAAUCAGCCAGCACAGUAGGUGCUCAAUACAGGGGCAAAAUCCUCCCAGAGAAGAAGACCAGCUGUUCCCAUACCAACAAAAGAAAAAUACGGUGUUACGAGAGAAGGCCAGGAAAAUCGCAGAGCCCCAAACCAGAGCUGCAGGAUAACCACUCCUGGACCCACCCACCUCUAGACAUUUUGUUUAAUGAGAUAAUCAAAUGUCAGCGUUGCUGAAGAUAACGUGCCUCAAGUCUCCCGAGAAUGGGCCCACCUCAGGGUCCCUGCCUCCCUCGGUGAUUAACUACGAGCAGCCCCUGGGAAGGGUGGCUUCUACUCAACUGUAAAGAUGACUCCAAUGGUCCAUCUGUCAAUUAGGCUCCGCACAGGAGAUCUGAAAGCCAUGACACACGACGGAAACCUAAACCUGCAGCCUGAAGCAGAGACUUCUCAGAUGACCUGCAGACCUAUGAGUAAGAAAAUGAAGAUUUGCUAUUAAACAUGGGAGCUUUGCCUGUGCUGACCUGAAGAUCUCCAACAUUUAUUAUUAAGAGAGAAAAGAGCCCAGAGAAUAGCACUGUGCUAGGAACUAAGGAUGCAGUGAAGAGGAAACCAAAAUCCCUGCCCCUGUGGAUCUGACGUGCUUGUGAGAGAAGCAGACAAGAAACGAAUGAGUAAGACAUCAGCGUGAUUAACAUCUGUAAUGUGGACUAUAUGUGAAGGAGAGUAUCCUGGAUCCUCUGGGCAGACCCGACCCAAUCAGUUGAAAGGCCUUAAGAGCAGAACUGAGAUUUCCCGAAGCAAGAAGAAAUUCCACCUGCGGACAGGACAGGAGCGUCAGCAACAGCCUGCCUGUCCUCCUGAACUGCCUGCCCUGCAGAUUUCAGACCUACCAAACCAGACUCCACCACCAGAUUUGGAAACCGACGCAGAAAGGCUGAAUCCUGUCACAGAGUGG